GGCUACAGCUAGCGUGCGUCUGCGGCAGCUCGCAAACAGGCAUUGAUCACGAAACCCUCCACCGCGGCUUCUACACAGGGUGGCAUUGUUUGUCCGUCUGCCCGCUGUGCCUCAAGAAAGCGCCGGCUGCGCUGUUCAGGUACUGGCUAGCAGGCUACUGGUGUCCUUACGAAUAGACGACCACUUGGACCGCUGGUUUUGACGAGCUCCGGCCCUCACGCGGGGCCGAACCUUUUGGUCAAAAUGGUGCCGGCCAAGCUCGCGACUUGUACGCACACCGGGGCCUCGCCGUCUGGACUCACCGAGUAAAGAAAACAGCGUCAAUUUCCCAACUCUUCAGCCAUAACUGUUUGAAGCAGUACUACUACGGCCUACGCAGAUGUGAGCUGCCGGCAUAAAGCGACACGACGGCUCCCAUGAAAGUAGUAUAAAAUUCUUUUCUUCAGCAGCAGGGUACGCACCGUAGUUUAAGAACACUUAGGAGAAUACAUCCCGUCAUGUAGCGUAUGAGCGAAUGUGACUACUGCAGAGGCCAGUAGCACAGCUCGAUUAGCUCGCAAACGCGAAGCCUAUUCGGUGUCUGCAAAGUUCGUUCACGAUACGUAUUUUCGUUUUUUUUUUCCAGUAGCAAUCGGCUGAGAAGGGCACCGUCUAAGAAGCGAACUCUGCUUACGUUCUCACAAAUGCGGUAGCUAGCAGGGUCACAGUGACACGAGGCCGCGCUCCCGUACGACGCCUAAUAUGGAAUCCCAUUUGGUCGAUGCCGGUUCAAAAGGCCAGUGACGCUCAACCAGCUGGACCUGGAGACUGCGGGCCAAGGCAACGGGGGUCCGAGUGAAAAGAUGGCGUUUCCUCCAGACCGUGCCGUCUUUCGCAGAUAGGUGCGCGCGUUCGGCCGUGAACCGAGGCCCAGCGUCGAGAAACGACGUCUGCUUCGCGCUCGCGUACUACGCGGAAAAGAGCAGCUGUUCGUCGCAGACGACAAGUCUCCGAAAAGCCGUCUGGCCCGCACGCGUUGAGGCGAGCCAGCUUGGCUAAACAAAGCGGGCCCGCCAUUUCGCGGAGCACGGGAACGUCCCGUCCUCGUUGC